GCACAAACUUCAUGAAAAAUAGUUUAGCAUACAGUGGAGCGGUCACCUGGAAUUCUCUAAGUGAUGACAUCAAAUCAACCGAGGAUGUCAUUGCUUUCAAAACGAAGGUUUCUAAUAAUAUACGAGAUUCUCUUAGUCUCUAAUGCUUUUAUUGUAUAUAUGUAAUAUAAUCAUUCAAAUUAUCGUAAAAUUUAGUUUCCCCUUUGUUUCCCUUUCUCUCCUUUCUUCCUAUAUU